GAUCAUGGCUCAGGAUGAACGCUGGCGGCGUGCCUAACACAUGCAAGUCGAGCGAAGCACUUGUAAAUGAUCCUUCGGGUGAUUUUGCUGGUGACUGAGCGGGCGACGGGUGAAGGUAACGCGUGGGUAACCUGCCUUAUACAGGGGGAUAACAGUCAGAAAUGGCUGCUAAUACCGCAUAAGCGCACAGGGCCGCAUGGUCCGGUGUGAAAAACUGAGGUGGUAUAAGAUGG
rnacentral:rRNA from 1 species